rnacentral:rRNA from 1 species
AUUGAACGCUGGCGGCAGGCCUAACACAUGCAAGUCGAGCGGAUGAGUGGAGCUUGCUCCAUGAUUCAGCGGCGGACGGGUGAGUAAUGCCUAGGAAUCUGCCUGGUAGUGGGGGACAACGUUUCGAAAGGAACGCUAAUACCGCAUACGUCCUACGGGAGAAAGUGGGGGAUCUUCGGACCUCACGCUAUCAGAUGAGCCUAGGUCGGAUUAGCUAGUUGGUGAGGUAAAGGCUCACCAAGGCGACGAUCCGUAACUGGUCUGAGAGGAUGAGCAGGCAAUCUGGAACUGAGACACGGACCAGACUCCUACGGGAGGCAGCAGUGGGGAAUAUUGGACAAGGGGCGAAAGCCUGAUCCAGCCAUGCCGCGUGUGUGAAGAAGGUCUUCGGAUUGUAAAGCACUUUAAGUUGGGAGGAAGGGCAGUAAGUUAAUACCUUGCUGUUUUGACGUUACCAACAGAAUAAGCACCGGCUAACUUCGUGCCAGCCGCCGCCGUAACAC